rnacentral:piRNA from 1 species
UGAGACUCAAUUCUGUAGAGUCAGGGGUGUU